rnacentral:rRNA from 1 species
GCCAUCAGGUAAUGCUGGGGACGUCUAAAGGAACUGCCUACGCAAGUAGUGAGGAAGCGGGGAUGACGUCAAAUCAGCAGGCCCUUACGUCCAGGGCUACACACGUGCUACAAUGGCCGAUACAGAGGGCAGCUACCUGGUGACAGGAUGCAAAUCUCCAAAGUCGGUCUCAGUUCGGAUCGGAGUCUGCAACCCGACUCCGUGAAGUUGGAUUCGCUAGUAAUCGCGCAUCAGCCAUGGCGCGGUGAAUACGUUCCCGGGCCUU